UACGUAGGUGACAAGCGUUGUCCGGAUUUACUGGGCGUAAAGAGCGCGCAGGCGGUCGAUCAAGUCGAGUGUGAAAGCCCCCGGCUCAACUGGGGAGGGUCAUUCGAUACUGAUCGACUCGAAGGCAGGAGAGGGUAGUGGAAUUCCCGGUGUAGUGGUGAAAUGCGUAGAUAUCAGGAGGAAUACCAGUGGCGAAGGCGGCUUUCUGGGCCUACCCUGACGCUGAUGCGCGAAAGCGUGGGUAGCAAACAGG
rnacentral:rRNA from 1 species